AAACGGAAGUCUCGUUCUUUUUCGUCCUUUUCUCCGGUUGCCGCUUGCUGUGAGUGUCUCUAGGGUGGUACGGGGGUGAGAAGGGUCCCGGUCCGCGCCAGCGCCCAGCGCGCCUCGUCGCCAUGGUGAGUACGGUCCCUGCCUGGCGCCUUCCCGGAGUGGGCUCGUGGGGCCCCGGGGCGAGGGCGAGAGGGCCUCCCAAGGAUCUCCGGAGGCCGGGAGGAGCUGGUGGACUGGACCAUCACCGGAAGACGUGUCUCUUUGCUGUCUGUUUACCCGCUUCCUUUGUGUUGCAGCCUCGGAAAAUUGAAGAAAUUAAGGACUUCCUGCUCACAGCUCGACGGAAGGAUGCCAAAUGUAAGUAGUUGCUUCGAAGGUUCAAGAUGAGCUGUGGUUACCUUGGCACUGCUCCGGGAGCAUCUUACCCGGAAUGUCAGGCAGGAGACGGGUUAGGCAGUCUGGGUGUGUGCCUGGCCCUCUGGGAGCAGUGGUUUUAUCCUGUUUCCCAUGAGAAAGAUCUGUGUGGGGCACGUUGAGGCCCUGGAAUUUCUAGGACUAUCUUUAGCUAAUCGCGAGUAUCUCAGGGGCUGCCCUGUGUUGUUUUCUUUUGUAUAAUACAGAAAAUUCUCGGAACGGAAUCUCCACUGCGCGAAAGCCUCAAGACACACGUCCCAUAAACACUGAGUUUAGGUUCUCUGCAGUUGUGCAAAAUCUUAAACCCAUUUUGUAAUAAAGUGCUGGAUAUCUGCAUGUAAUGUAUUGAGCACGGCACACUGUGUAGUAUGGUCGUUUACCUCGUGAGUCUGUGGUCGCUGGCCAGUGUCAGAAGGUAUCAUACCUAUCUGGUCCAGAAAAAUAUUUUUAAAAAAAUUUUUUUUUUUUCUUUGAGACAGUCUGGUUCUGUCGCCCAGGCUGGACUGCAGUGGUGCGAUCUUGGCUCACUGCAAUUACCGCCUCCCAGGUUCAAGCGAUCCCCCUGCCUCAGAGUAGCUGGGCGCGCCACCAUGCCUGGCUAAUUUUUGUGUUUUUGGUAGAGACAGAGUUUCACCAUGUUGGCCAGGCUGGUAUCGAACUCCUAACCUCAGAUGAUCGACCUGCCUCCGCCUCCCAAAGCGCUGGGAUUACAGGCAUGAGCCACUGUGCCCCGCCAAGAUCAAAAUUUGAAGCAGGGCUUCUACUGAAUGUGUAUCGCAUUACCACCAUUGUGAAGUCACAAAGUUUAAGUGGGACUGUCAUAGGUCUGUUUCCCAGCUUAUACAUACAGGGGAAAGAAGGUGAUUAAUGAAAAACCUUAAACAGCAGGUUUUCGAUGAAUAGGUGCCAAUCUCUGCUGCCCACUUAAAUUUUUACACCAGGCGUGAGAGGUAGUUGUGUUAUCCCUUUGGGAUACUUGAAGGAGAUUUGGGGGCUUGUGUUUGAUACAAGCUAGGUCUUGAGUUAUGUUGUUACUUUAACCCAGAAUCAUCUUUUUUCAGUUGCAUGAAAGAGAAUCGGGUCACAUGUGGAAGUGGGAUUGCAUGGGACAGGCCUGUUAAGGUGGGCUAAGACACCAGCCAUCUCUAAUGCUCUGUGCCAGCGGUGGUGCCAGAUGGUGGUUGGUGUACAGGGAGAGCCUUUUAGUGAGUUGGGGGUAGGCAGAGAUGGGGGUCAUAUUUGUGUCCCCAUUACCCAAAACAGGCUGUCACCUUUGAGGUAGUGAACACUUGUGGGAAUAAAUAGCAUCUGGUGCGAAUGCUGACUGUGUGCUAGGGUUUUGUGUAAAAAGAUGAGGUUAUCAGGUCAGUUUUAUUUCAGACCAUAUGGGAUCACUGCUUAGUUCAAAGCCCUACUCUACCAGCAGGUAACUUACCCUUCUCAGCAAGUGAAACAUGACACCACCCUUUCUUUGUGUUUUAAAAGGUUGGUGGUCCGGGUGUGUUGGCUCAUGCCUAUAAUUCCAGCACUUUGGGAGGCCAAAGCGGGCAGAUCACUUGAACCAGGAGUUCAAGACCAACCUGGGCGACAUGGCAAAACCCCAUUUCUACUAAAAAUAAAAAAGUUAGCCGGGCAUGGUGGCACACGCCUGCAGUCCCAGCUACUCAGGAGGCUGAGGCGGCAGAAUCAGUUGAACCAAGGAGGCAGAGGUUGCAGUGAGCUGAGAUUGUCUCACUGCACUCCAGCCUGGGUGACAGAGCGAGACUGUCUCACAGAAAUUGGGAACCUUGAUUUUAGAUGAUGUGGCUUUAAAGGUAGCGGUCACGGUCCCCUGGGGAUAGUAAAGUGUCAGUAGCUGUUUGUUGAAAAAACUUUUUAAAAUUAUUGCAUUAAUUUUUAAUGUGUAAUAAGCAUAGCAUAAAAUUUACCAUUUACACUGGGUAUGGUGGUUUCCAUCUGUAAUCCCAGCACUUUGGGAGACUGAGGCAGAUGGAUGAGACUAGCCUGGGCAUCAUAGUGAGACCCUGUCUCUAC
rnacentral:sRNA from 1 species